CUGGUAAAGCCCAUCACACCCUCUUCACUUUCUCCACAUGAACCCAUGGGAUGCAGCAUCUAUGGAUCCAUGAGAAUCAGACCAUAAAUGAGUGAAAAGAGGUUGUGAUUGGCAGCUGCAGAGUCCAGCUGGGCUCUCAAGUCUCUGGGCCAUGGGAGAUAAAGACCAGCAGAGAUACAACAGCCCUGGAAUCCUGCCAUGGGAAGCAGCAGACAAGGAAGAAGAGAGGCCUGGAGCACUGUGGGAGAAUUGAGGCUUCUGUCCAAGGCCUGGGAGCCAGAAGUAGCCGCAUUCUGAAGCCACGGCCCAGUGAAGGUCAAGGAGACUGAGUGUCAAGACUCAUACUGAAGAUUCAACCUGGGAACACUGAGAAUCAAUUGAUAUGUUUAUACAUCAUGAGUCUGGAGGUUCUACCUGGAAGUUAUUGAAACCACUGAGGGUGCAGCCUCUCCCAAGGUUGGUGCUACUCACAGUGCAACAACUGCUGACCUUCUUGUCUACAUCCUCAGCCACCUCAGCAAAGACUGGGCUCAGGAUCCUGAGAGAUGGGAAGGACGCAGACAGGUUAGACUGUGGUCACAGCCUCCCUGCAUCCAGCAGAAAGGAGAGGAGAAAGGUGGAACACGCACUCCUGUCUCCAGGCAUCUCUAGUCACUUGUGCUGAGUGGGGAGGCUGAGGAGGGGAGGGGUCCAGGCAAUGGUGAGGACACCCCAGAGUUCUGCUUCUUGAAGAUCCACAGUUUAGACUCAGUUUACCGUAGGCAUCUUUUAUUUUCUCCCCAAACCCUGUGCGGGGUGGGGUAGGUAGGGGUUCAUGCAGAUAUACCUGACUCCCUGUGUGUCAGCCCAUAUUGUACAUUGAGUCUGGGUUUUGUUUGUUUGUUUGUUUGUCUAAACAUGGUAGGCCUUUGUAGGAGUGGCUCAGGGUCCCCUAGGCAGAAGUAGGCAGUUGGGCCCUAGCAGGCAGAGACAAGGACCCCUUCAGCUGCCCGCAGCUAUGAUAGCCCUGCUGACUUAGGACUCUCAUCGCAUUCUCUUUUGUAGGUGUACCUCAUUUAGGUAUCACAAUGCUAAUACUAAGAUCACACUUAGGUAUCACAUACUCAUUUAGGUAUCUCCAAAGCCACAGACACCAGAGUCGUAGGGCAUGGAGACACAGACUUUCCAAGCAGAUCACCAGGAAUGAUGAAAAGAGUGGCUACUUGUAUUUGCUUCCUGUCGGACUGAGAUCCAUAUGAUUUUUCUAUUCAGGACAAAGCACCAUGAUUUAGAGUGAUUAAGCGUCUUCAAAUAUUGCUCCCUCUCCUUGUAUGUUAUCAUCUUGAGGUGAGCACUUCUGCUGUACUUUCAAUGGACUGAUCGUUAUCCUUCCAGCUCUAUUCAAUGUCCUGAUAGAUUUGUUUCCAUGGCUUCUAUAACAAUAUUCCACAAACUGGGUGGCUUAAAAGAACAUACAUUUAUUCUCUGUCACUUCUGGAGAGUAACAGUCUUAAAUCAACCUGUCACCAGCUCCCUCUGAAGGCUCCAAGGACAUAUGCUUCCUUGCCCCUUCCUAGCCUCUUGUGGCUCCCAGCAAUUUCUGACAGUCCUUGGCUUGUACUCUCAUCUCUGACUUCAUCACUACAUGCUUUCUUCCCCGUGUGUAUGACUGUGUGUCCUCUCCUUUCCGUUACAAGGACAUCAAUAAUUGCAUUUAGGCACACUCUAAUUCAGUAUGACCUAAUCUUAACUAAUUACAUGAAAAAACACCCUAUUUUCAAUAGCACCCUAUUUUCAAUAGACAUUUCAAAAAACAUUUAGAGAUGUUGUCUCUAAAGUUCUCCUCGCUUCCUUCUGAGACUUUAUCUAAAGUGCUUUUCACUGUAUUUCUACUGGCAUUCCCUCCAAGGAAAUCCAUGCUGUUUCAUUGGAGCACUUCAAAACUCUUCUAGUCUCUCCCCAUUGCUCUAUUGCCCAAAGUUCUGAAUGUCUAGGUAAUUUUUUUGUAGCAACAGCCCUCUUGGCAGAAAAAUUUGUAUUUUUUCCUAUAGUAGCUAUAGUAAAUGACCACACACUGUGUGGUUUAAUACAAUAGAAAUUUAUUGUUUGACAAUUCUGAUGUGAGAAAUCUGAAAUCAAAAUAACAACAAGGCCAUGCUCACAUUGAAGGCUCCGGAGAAGAAUGCUUGCUUCUUGUAGUUUUUGGUGCCUCCCAGAAACACUUGCCAUUCCUUGGCUUGUAACUUCAUCAUUUCAACCUCUGGCUUCAUCAUCCCAUGGCCAACUUCACUUUGUGUAUGUCUGUGUGUCAUCUUCUGUACUAAUAAGGACAAGAGUCUUUGGAUUUAGGGUCCCUCCUAAUCCUGUAUGACCUCAUUUUAACUAGUUUCAUCUGCAAAUAAGGUUUCACUUCCCAAUUAGAUUAUGUUCUGAGGUUUCAGGUGGGUGUGAAUUUUGGAAUCACACUAUUUAAUCCAUUAUACCUGGCAGAUGCAUGCCUUGUUUGAGGCUGCUCUGCAUCUCAGGCUAACCCAUAAGCUGCUGACAGCUUGAGGCUGUCCACUGAGGUCUUCCAAUAGCAGAGUCGAAUACUCCUUUCUUGAAGGAGGACCUGGGUAUCACAUAAUUACGUUUAUCUAAUGUGGUGUGUAGAAUAUAGUGGCUGUGGCAGGGACUCAGAGGUCUUGCUCUUCAUUGUUAAGAGCCUUGACCAAAGCCGUCGUUUUCUGUAUGGUUUUCCUCCUCUCCUUUUAACCUCAAAAUCUGAGCUUUUCGGAAAUGAUUUCAGAAUUUUUACCCUGUCAAGUUAAUUAGGAAUGAAGAGUGCUGUUUAUCUGUUUCUGGUGUUCAAUUUUUUAAAAAAUAAAAAUGGGAUCUCUUACUGUGCCCAGGCUUGUCUUGAACUCUUGACCUCAGGUGAUUCUCUUGCCUUGGCCCCUCAACAUGCUGGGAUUACAGGCAUGAGCCACCACGCUUGGACUAAAAUGUUUUGAUAGAAGAUGUCAUAAUUACUUUUUCCUCCAAUAUUCUUUGUUAUCUUAGCCUGGUACAAUUUCACAUAUUUCUUUGCAGCUAUCUUUGUGGCUUUACUUUUUUGUAGAGGAGAAUAAAGAUAAAUCAUGUAAGAUAGUCUUGUUUUAGAGAGGAGUGAAGCUUGUAUCUGUAACAUUCCUGCGCUGCAGACAUUCCUGCCCUGUGCCAUCUGUGCCCCCUCCCAUCACAGAGCCUCCACUUCAGGGCCCUCAGGAUACCCUGCAGAAUCCUCGGAGUCUCUGGAGGGAAGAUGCACUGGAGGCAGAGAGGCCAACGCUUUUAUACUGCUGUGAUGCUGAUGCUUUCCUCCAGCAAACAGGGAGGCUCGGUUUUGGUACACUGGAUUAAGUUGCAGAGAAAGAAGCUGCAUUUCCUGAGUAAGAAGAAUGUUUAAUUUAUGUCAACUUUAUGUUUUGUAUUAUAUUUUACAAAUUAACUCAGUUUUGAGGGAUUUAAAAAUUUUUUAUUUUGUUUUAGAAUUUUCUAAAAUUUGGUGAGCAGGACAUUUUUUCCCUGUUUCGAUUACGUGUCUUCAAAGCUUUAUAUGGUCCAUUGCUGUGUUUAUCAUUAUACAUAGCAUCAUCUUUGAGUUGUGUCACUAUAGUAUCAAACUUUGCUCUUGGUAAUUAAAUGCUGGCCUGCCUGAAUCUGUGUGUGUGUGUGUGUGUGU